GCCAAAAAUUUAGCCCAAAACUUUUACUUAAUACCACUACUCCCUAGACACCAAACUAAAACAUUUUUUUAACCCAGUAAAGGCGAUAGAAAAGUUUUUUGGAGCAAUAAACACAGUACCGUAAGGGAACAAUGAAAUAUUACUAAACAAUAAAAGCACAGAAAAGUAGAGAUAGACCCUCGUACCUUUUGCAUCAUGGUUUAACUAGUUCAACCAGACAAAAAGAUUUUAAGCCUGACUCCCCGAAACCAAGCGAGCUACUCCAGGGCAGCUAAACGAGCCGACCCGUCUCUGUCGCAAAAGAGUGGGAAGACCCUCCAGUAGAGGUGAAAUGCCAAACGAGCUUGGCGAUAGCUGGUUUCUCAAGAAAAGGAUCUUAGUUCAACCUGAAGUUUCAACAAAUAAUUGUAUAUCCAAACUCAACUUCAGAGCAAUUCAAAUAAGGUUCAGCCUAUUUGAAACAGGAUACAACCUCCUCUAAUGGGUACCUACUUCCCUUUUCCCACCCAAGUGGGCCUAAAAGCAGCCACCUUUCAAAUGGCGUCAAAGCCAAUGAAAUUAAGACUUAUAAUUUCCCAACCACCAACCAACCCUUAAUUACUACUGAGAAGCUCUAUAUAAAUAUAGAAGUUUUUAUGUUAAAACUAGUAAUAAGAAGAAGACCUUCUCUUAAGUGCGAGCGUAUCUCAGCGACGAACCACUCACUGACAAUUAACAUUUAUGAACCUAAAGCAGCAACCCAACAAUAAAAGCCUUCUCAAAUUCAAUGUUAACCUAACACAAGAGCACUGCAAGAAAGAUUUAAAGGGGGAGAAGGAACUCGGCAAAUAUUAACCCCGCCUGUUUACCAAAAACAUCGCCUCUUGUAAUGUAUAAGAGGUCCCGCCUGCCCAGUGACCUAGUUAAACGGCCGCGGUAUCCUGACCGUGCGAAGGUAGCGUAAUCACUUGUCUUUUAAAUAGAGACUAGUAUGAACGGCAUCACGAGGGUUACUCUGUCUCCUCCCCCCGAUCAAUGAAACUAAUUUCCCCGUGAAGAAGCGGGGAUACUUAUAUAAGACGAGAAGACCCUAUGGAGCUUUAAACAAAGUAAUAUCUGCUUUACCUACCCCCCCCCCCCCGGGAAACAGGAGAUAACCACCAUCUUAGCAUUAUAAUUACUAGUUUUCGGUUGGGGCGACCGUGGAGCAUAAAUUAACCUCCAUGAUGAACCGGCACCCGCCUAAACAAAAAGCUACGACUUUAUGUAUCAGAAGACUGACGUACAUUGACCCAAAACUUUGAUCAACGGACCAAGUUACCCUAGGGAUAACAGCGCAAUCCACUUCGAGAGUUCAUAUCGAAAAGUGGGCUUACGACCUCGAUGUUGGAUCAGGGUAUCCCAGUGGUGCAGC
rnacentral:rRNA from 1 species